rnacentral:rRNA from 1 species
AUACGGAAAAGUGCAAGCGUUAAUCGGAGUCACUGGGCGUAAAGCGCACGUAGGCUGUUUGGUAAGUCAGGGGUGAAAUCCCGCAGCUCAACUGCGGAAUUGCCCUUGAUACUGCUGGACUUGAGUUCGGGAGAGGGUGGCGGAAUUCCAGGUGUAGGAGUGAAAUCCGUAGAUAUCUGGAGGAACAUCAGUGGCGAAGGCGGCCACCUGGACCGAUACUGACGCUGAGGUGCGAAAGCGUGGGGAGC